ensembl:lincRNA
ACUUGUACAAAGCAAGGGUCCAAGUACCCAAUGUGACAUCCCUGAAGAUUGAGAACCUGACCCCACAGGACAGUGGGUGAUACAAGGCACACGGCAGGUUAACUGAUGGAACAGAAUUUUUCCAAAAUUUCCACCUCAAGGUCUAUGAGCCUGUGUCCCCCCACUGAUCCUAGUCAAGGCUUUGUCCAUUACACCAGGCUGGUGCAAUGUCACCCUGGACUGCAGGGCCACAGGGGCCACAGAGGACCUGAAUGUGACCUGGGAGAGCAAGGGCCUUCCCAGGGAGCUGGAGCUGAGAGGGACACCAGGACCAGGCCCCAACCCCUGGGCCCAGGCUGUGAGCCUGCCCCUGAGCGAGGCCAACGCCAGCCUCAACUGUGUGGUCAGCAACCCCAUGGACCAGAACAAUGCCACCUCAGGACUUGGUGACAUUUGUUCAUGAGGUGAGUGCUGAGCUGGGUGUGGUGGCACAUGCCUGUCACCCCAGCACUUGGGAGGCUGAGGCAGGACGAUCGUUUUGAGUUUGAGACCAACCUGCACUACAAAGUGAGCUCUAGGCCGACCUGAACUUCAUAGUGAGGAGCUGUCUCAAAAAGACAAAAAAAAACCAACAGAACACCAGGUGAGUGCCAGCUCUUGGCCAUUAGGCUGUCAGGAAGCUCAGGGAGCAGUGAGUCUGAGUCGCCCAGACUUUCCUCCCUGCCAUGUUCUUUAGGACCAUCCACCUGCACAUGGUCACACCGUGCAGAAGUCUGGGGUCACAUCCCACUGACAUCUGCCUGUAAAUGUCCCUCACAUCCCUGUCCCUCCCUGCUGGUCCCGGCAGCAGCCAUCCAAUGUCUCUCCCGCUCUGGGUACAGAGUGGGCUUUGCAAAAGCAGAUCAGACUGUGGCAUAUGUCAGGGUCAUCUCUGCAUCUGACCUUCAGUUACUCCUGUAGGACUCAGGGCUCACACGUUCUCUGCCCACGUAGUCCAUUCAUGAGUACCCUUCACACAGAACUGCUGCUGUAGCCCCUCAAUCUGCACUGCCACUGAGAGUCUUGAAGGUGUCAGCUCUUCUAGGCAGCUGUGCAGGACAACCCACACUUAGUAACUGUGCACUCUUGUGUUUGAAUCCUGCAUAGAAUAGAAAUCCUGGAGAUCAGGGUCACGUGUUUGCACCUUUUCAAUUCUCCCCACAACAGCUCUGGACAAUGUCUGUGCAUUAAAGGGGUUUCAUUAAAUGCACAACGGACCUGGGACCUGUGUGUGGCCUCCUCUUCUCUGACGUUUCUUCCAGAAGCUGCUGGAGAAUCUACUAUGUCACAGUCAACUGUAACCCCUAGGCACAUUGCCCACACACCUCUUAUUCUGAAUACUCAAAUAAAUUUCUCUACCAAAUAUGGCCCAGGAUACACUCUGGACUCCCCUCUUGCCCUCCUUUGACCCUAGAUAGUUAGCUUUUCCCUCCCUGCUAGAAUAAUCUAGAAAACACCCACUUUCUUGCCAGACUCACUUACCCAGGACCGUCUAGAGAGGCCCUUCCCCUGCCUUGUACAAGGUGAAACCUCAGUCGCAGCGAGAUGUCUCUGGCUGGUAGUUGAUAUUUUCUUUCUUCCUUCCCUGAGGAGAAGCUCCCACAGCUGACCUCAUUGGAGGCAUCUUCAGGGGAAUCACAGCGGUGCUGUUCUUCCUGGGAGCUGGACUGUGCCUGAGGAGAACUCGAGACAAAAAGAAGAUGAUGGAAACAGAAGUGGCAGGUUGCACUUCUCCUUAUGGGCAAUGACCUCCUCUCUCCCAGUGCACCCUGGGCUUUUCCCUCCUGCACUUUGCUACCAGGAAGUGGGUCCUGCAGAG